GAUGAAGAACGUAGCGAAAUGCGAUACUUGGUGUGAAUUGCAGAAUCCCGUGAACCAUCGAGUCUUUGAACGCAAGUUGCGCCCGAAGCCAUUAGGCCGAGGGCACGCCUGCCUGGGCGUCACACGUCGUUGCCCCCCCAUCUACUCCUUCGGGAUUGCGGGGGGCGGAUGAUGGCCUCCCGUGCGCCUCGUCGCGCGGUUGGCAUAAAUGCCAAGUCCUCGGCGACGCACGCCACGACAAUCGGUGGUUGCGAAACCUCGGUUGCCCGUCGUGUGCGGCCGUCGCGCAUCGAGGGCUCGAAAAAAUUGCCGGGCUCCGGCUCGGCUUUCAACGCGACCCCAGGUCAGGCGGGGUUACCCGCUGAAUUUAAGCAUAUCAAUAAGCGGAGGA
rnacentral:misc_RNA from 1 species